AAUAGACAAGAAGGAUCUCUGUCAUGGAUGUAGAAAUAAAAGGGAAACAAACACUUUAGCCUUAUUUUAUGAACAUACAAUGUCUAAACUACAGGGUUUAAGCGAUUUUCUGACAGAGAGGUUAAAUGUGGCUGCCCAGGAAAUAUUUAAGGCGGUUGAAGACAUAUUUAGAAACUAUAAUGAGGAGAUUUGUCGCUCCAGACAGGAGAUAGAGCUUCUGAAGGGAAAACUGGACGAAGCUGGAGUUCAGUUUCGUCGUCCUGAAACACAGCCUUGCUCUUCUGAGAUUCAAAAAAAGAAAUACACCCAGACGUACACAGAAGAACAGUUGAGACCUGAACAUGAUGGAAAGGAUACAGAGAUGCAUAUGAAACUAGAGGUCUAUACACAGCAGGAAGAGAAUGGAGAGCAGAUGCCUUUGUGCAAUGAAACCACACCUUUAUUGCCAUUUAUGGACGUUGACCAUGAUCAGAUGGUCCACAAAAUCGUUGGAACCCAAGUGAUGGAAAACCUCAACAAUAAUUUUACUUUCAUUAACAAUGCUGCUCAGAUUAAGAAUGAACCUGAGCCUAAUCCUGAAAGUGGUACUUGCUGUCAGGCACAGCACAUCACAAGAUACAGCUCGGAUGUUACAGAGGACAGUGAUGCAUCCAGCAACGACAUCAAAAUAAAAGUUAGCCACGUUGGCUCCCCUGCACAUAACACACAACAAUAUGAGCUGCCUUUUAGAAAUCAAGAGGUGUUGGCACAACAUAGGAUGGAGCUGGCCCAAAUAAGAGAGAGAUUGGCAGAAGAAGAGCGAAAGAAGGCUGCAGCAAAAGCUAGAUCCCAAAAGCACAAGCAGAAAGUAUAUGGGAACCCUGAUCUUCUUGAAGCAUACAGGAAAAAGGAGAGAGAGAGAUAUCAAAGACGAAAAUCUCAGGGGAAAAUGAAAUCUGCUAAAGAUCUGAACCCAAUACAAUUGAGAAGGCAACAGAAAAGAUGGAGGGACAAUUCUGCUGCAUACAGGAAAAAGAAAGCAUUUCAGGACGUUUUAGACAACAUUAAAGAAGACUUUAUUGAACUCAUCCCAGAGCAAAUGCCUGCCACAUCUGCUCAACAUUUUAGCAUUUUUUAGAGUUCAGUGUGUAAAAAAUAUCCCUUUAUUCCUGAUCAACCUGUACUGUAUAUGGAACUUGCCAAUUCCAAGGGUUUGAUUCCCAAGGAACACACUUUCCAUUUAAAAUGGAUAUCUUUAAAGCUGAAGUGUGUAACAUUUUUGGUGUUAAAAUAAUCUCUCCUAUCCCAGCUUAAUAUGCAGAGACAAUUAUAAGUAAGCCAUUGGUUGGUUAUUUUUCUUUACAACUAUUAACACUGUUGGGGGAAUUCAUUAAACAGUUGGGCCACUUUUACGCAUGGUAUUUUAGCGCAAAAACCUGCAUUCUUGUUUUGAGUGACCUAACAAUUUCGACACAACAACAUUGAUUCGACAUAUAGCGCUUGUUUAGGGUAGGACUAUCUUUUUGUUUAUUCGAAUGGUGUAUUCGGAUGGCUGUUUGGAAAAUAAAUGUAAAUGGGCAAUUCUGUUUGAUAGCUUAGAAAUAGCACACAUCAGCUUUAAUGCAAGGGUGCGUUCACACUUUACGCCAAAGUUCAGUUCAUUUGAUGAUGUGAACUCUGUUUUCCGAUGGCAUUGGUUAUUAUGGGAUAAUGAGUUUCUUGUACCUGCUUAUCUGUCAAAUAAAUCGCCUUCAAAGAACAGCUCACAUUCUACACAUCUUUGCACUUUCAAUUAAUUCACGGCAGACAAGCUAAAUUGCAAACAAAACGGGAAAGAAACCGGAGGAAUAAGUGGGAACCUGAGGAAUUGCACACUGUAAGGAAGAUCAGACACGCUGAAGAAGCGGCUCUUGACAAAGAACAACACCAGCAAACACAGCUCAAGACAAAUUUAACUGACAUCUCCUGUGAGGACAUUCAACAUGAAGAGGAACUGUCUGAAAGUUACCAUACUCUUCAUGAUAUUCACGGAAACCCACACGGUACAGGAGAAUAUUCUUGUGUCGUGUGCCGCAGAAGAUUCAGCUCAUCAGGACUGCUAAAAAUUCACCUUAGAGUUCACUCAGGAGAGAAACCAUACCAUUGCAGCUUUUGUGGUAAAAACUUUAGACAAUCAAGUCACCUUAAGACACACGUCAGAAUCCACACUGGAGAGAGACCUCACAUCUGUCAGAGUUGUGGGAAGACUUUUAUUGACUCAAGUGCACGAAACAGGCACUUUAAAAAAUGCGUUCUUCUUGCUCUACAAGGACCAUGAAAUGAUAAGCAGUGUCUGUUGAAGGUCUUUCCAUUACUCAUUAAAUUGGAAAUGUCAAAGUAUUUAGUUUUUUUAAUCUGGCAUGAUAGCAGAUGCAUUUUUAAAGGUUUUUAAAUAAUGUUGUACUACCAAUCAGGCAGUCUGAUACAGUGCCACAUCUAACAGAACAAAUAUGUCAAGAACAGCUCCAAUCAUGUCCUUAAAAGGUUUCACUUUGUUUUUAGAAUAUGCAACUGCCAAUCACCUGAACUCUUUCAAGUCCUUGCAAUGCUACAUUUUAUAGAGCAGGACUGAUUACAUUUCUGUGAGCCAGGUGCGAUUUAAAUUAUGCAAAACAGUGUUCAUUUCCUGAGCAGAAUUUUAAAAGCCUCAAGAUUGUAAGGCUUGAUUUAAAUUUUUUAACCUGUUUUGUUCUUUCUACUGUCAUUAUAGAAGUACAAUAGCUAGCAUGGUAAGUUUUAAGUACUUGUGUGAAUUUUAAAGAUCCUGAAUGGCAUUUGGAAAAGUACAUCUUCAUUGUUUCAUUUAGUUUCUUUGGUUGUUUUAUUAUUAUUAUUAUUAUUAUUAUUAUUAUUAUUGAUGUUGUUAAUGUUGUGUGUCUGUCAUAAAAUAGUAGAGUAAAAUAUACAAACAUCCUUGCAGUUUGUAGUCAUUUUUACUGAUUUCAAACAGAGCAAAUUUUGUCCAUCAAUAAUAUAUAGAUACA